rnacentral:misc_RNA from 1 species
UUCGUGCCGGGGGGGCCGAACUGCUUCCCUCACUUUCGAUCAGUUGUUGCUCCGCGAGCUAAACGUCGGAUGCGAGAUGUGGGUUCCUGUGUUGCAUACCUAUUGCGACGGAAAUGUGUGCCUUCGGUAGUCCCUUCCAUCACGACGUCCUCUUGGAUGCUCGGUUGGACCGGAUAGUGGGGCUCGUGUUCCACGAACGUCGUCUCAUUCGAUCGUUCGGACGGACCACGAGUGCCUACUCGUUCUCUCGGAUGCGGAACUCUCGCAAUGGGAGUGGGGUCAUUGGCCCUUCUUCCCUAAUCGUUAAGCGUUUAUCGCUUCACCCGAAUGACGAUCUUGCCUUGUCCUUGAUCGCGCGAAGCCCUCGGGCAUCGCGGCGGAUCAUGCUCGGCGGACGUCGUGAAGGAAUGCUACCUGGUUGAUCCUGCCAGUAGUCAUAUGCUUGUCUCAAAGAUUAAGCCAUGCAUGGUAAGUAGAACCCGG